rnacentral:rRNA from 1 species
GACAGAGGUGCCGAGCGUUAGGCGGAAUCACUGGGCUUAAAGCGUGUGUAGGCGGACUUCUAAGUACCUUGUGAAAUCCCACGGCUCAACCGUGGAACUGCUUGGUAUACUGGUCGUCUUGAGCCAUCUAGGGGCUGUCGGAACAAAUGGUGGAGCGGUGAAAUGCGUAGAUAUCGUGAGGAACACCAGAGGCGAAGGCGGCUACCUGGACAAUUGCUGACGCUCAGGCACGAAAGCGUGGGGAGCAAAAGGG